rnacentral:ncRNA from 2 species
UUCUUAUUUAGAGCAGGUGGAGGGACGAGCCCUAUGAUACCCGGCAACCGAUCCAUUAUGGACACGGUGCUAAUUCUUGCAGUCAGUAGACUGAGAGAUAAGAA